AGGCUACACACAAAAAAAUAUUACGGUAAUGACAAAAGUAACUUACUUUAGAAUUAAAAAGUUGUUAAAAUUUGCUACAUUAAAAGUUUUUUUCUUGUUUUGAAAAUGAAAACUUUUACUGCUACAGUUUUUGAAAAUCUCAUUGCUCACUGAUUUAAAAGUUUUCACUUUUAAUUCGACUGUAAAAUUUCUUUCAUUUUGACGUUCUCGUGUAACCGUGUACGCCUAAGUCGCAAAUGUAAACAAACACUUUGGUGGGUCCGGUGGUGCUGGUGAGUCUAGGACGCAAAGCAAAGCCGACCACGGCAGCAGCCAGAACUCGGACGCGGAAACCUUCGAAAGAGGAUGGUGUGGGCUCGGGUGCGGGUGCGUAACAAGGUUGGGAGAUUAGGGGAAAGUUGGUUUUCAAAAGGAUAAGGCCAUGGCUGCAGCUUCCUGCAGGACCUGCAGCUGUUUCACGACCGAAAUGGGUAAGAAUGAAGCUUGGGUGUUUGGUGGCGUUUGAGAUUAUUUUGUUUGUUUUUGUAGGACGCCGUUUAUGUGGUUGCCGAAGAUCGGAGGUCGGGAUGUGGAUUUGCACCGGUUGUAUUCGGUGGUGGUGGCCCGGGGUGGGUAGACGAGAUUGACGUUGAAGCAGAUUUACAUUCGCUUUUUGAACAAGUACGAAAAAGUUAAGUUUCAUGGUGAGGAGAAGGAUCCGACGGAAGAGGGAAACGACGAGUAGCGGCAUAAUCGGAGGUGGUCAGCGCGGAUGUUGCACUCGGUGCCGGCGGUUUACGACCAUCAGCAGCAUUAUGUGCCAGAAGUGAUGACGGGACAGUGUGGGAUGUCCCGAGGGUCCGCAGUCCAUUUCUCGUUGCGGGACGAGUAUUACCUAAACAUCCGGAAGAACAGUUUGCACUAGUUCUGGAAGGACCGUCUGUACGAAAGCCGCAGGUCCUGGAGCUGUCGUACUCAGAUUACUUCCAGAGGUUGGAGCGAGAUCCGACGAACCUGAUCAAAAACAUCUACCUGGAAUACAGAAGAAGUUACAGCAACUCCCGCCCGCAAACGCUCAUCUAGCAACGGCGCAGCUUCGGCCGGAUGAACUUUGAUGGCGAGUUGGCAAUAUCUGUAUAAUUCUCGAAGGAGGACGAAGUGAUCGUGGACUAUCCGUUCAUGCGCUUCACUUCCUAGCCGGAAAACGUCGUCUUCCCUUCCCGAAUCAACAACCAAUGGCCAACUCCUCCAAGCCUGUCCUGAUGAUGGCCGGCAACGAGACCACCCUGUUCUCUACAUCGCUGUCGCGCUCCAAAAUAAAGGCCGCGAUGUUGCUCCCCAACGAAACAUCCAUCCGUAACCUGCUCAGCCUGGGGCCUUCGAACGUGACCGGUGGCGUACCGUAAGAAUCGGUACAGCUUGGACGCGGAAGUUGGCCAACCGUAAGCAGAUCCGCUAAAUACAAAAAAAAAAUCGAAAACAUACUGUUUUAAUAUUAAAAUAUUGAAAUAAAAUCCAUCACAUGUUUCGAAAA